rnacentral:rRNA from 1 species
GCGAGUGGCGGACGGGUGAGGAAUACAUCGGAAUCUACCUUUUCGUGGGGGAUAACGUAGGGAAACUUACGCUAAUACCGCAUACGACCUUAGGGUGAAAGCGGAGGACCUUCGGGCUUCGCGCGGAUAGAUGAGCCGAUGUCGGAUUAGCUAGUUGGCGGGGUAAAGGCCCACCAAGGCGACGAUCCGUAGCUGGUCUGAGAGGAUGAUCAGCCACACUGGAACUGAGACACGGUCCAGACUCCUACGGGAGGCAGCAGUGGGGAAUAUUGGACAAUGGGCGCAAGCCUGAUCCAGCCAUGCCGCGUGGGUGAAGAAGGCCUUCGGGUUGUAAAGCCCUUUUGUUGGGAAAGAAAAGCAGUCGGUUAAUACCCGAUUGUUCUGACGGUACCCAAAGAAUAAGCACCGGCUAACUUCGUGCCAGCAGCCGCGGUAAUACGAAGGGUGCAAGCGUUACUCGGAAUUACUGGGCGUAAAGCGUGCGUAGGUGGUUGUUUAAGUCCGUUGUGAAAGCCCUGGGCUCAACCUGGGAAUUGCAGUGGAUACUGGGCAACUAGAGUGUGGUAGAGGAUGGCGGAAUUCCCGGUGUAGCAGUGAAAUGCGUAGAGAUCGGGAGGAACAUCUGUGGCGAAGGCGGCCAUCUGGACCAACACUGACACU